GAUGAACGCUGGCGGCGUGCCUAAUACAUGCAAGUCGAGCGAACGGACGAGAAGCUUGCUUCUCUGAUGUUAGCGGCGGACGGGUGAGUAACACGUGGAUAACCUACCUAUAAGACUGGGAUAACUUCGGGAAACCGGAGCUAAUCCCGGAUAAUAUUUUGAACCGCAUGGUUCAAAAGUGAAAGACGGUCUUGCUGUCACUUAUAGAUGGAUCCGCGCUGCAUUAGCUAGUUGGUAAGGUAACGGCUUACCAAGGCAACGAGGCAUAGCCGACCUGAGAGGGUGAUCGGCCACACUGGAACUGAGACACGGUCCAGACUCCUACGGGAGGCAGCAGUAGGGAAUCGUCCGCAAUGGGCGAAAGCCUGACGGAGCAACGCCGAGUGAGUGAUGAAGGUCUUCGGAUCGUAAAACUCUGUUAUUAGGGAAGAACAUAUGUGUAAGUAACUGUGCACAGCUUGACGGUACCUAAUCAGAAAGCCACGGCUAACUACGUG
rnacentral:rRNA from 1 species